rnacentral:rRNA from 1 species
UACAGAGGUCUCAAGCGUUGUUCGGAUUCAUUGGGCGUAAAGGGUGCGUAGGUGGCGCGCUAAGUCAGGUGUGAAAUUUCGGAGCUUAACUCCGAAACUGCAUUCGAUACUGCGGUGCUUGAGGACUGGAGAGGAGACUGGAAUUCAUGGUGUAGCAGUGAAAUGCGUAGAGAUCAUGAGGAAGACCAGUGGCGAAGGCGGGUCUCUGGACAGUUCCUGACACUGAGGCACGAAGGCCAGGGGGAGCAAAACGGGG